rnacentral:rRNA from 1 species
ACUCCUACGGGAGGCAGCAGUGGGGAAUAUUGCACAAUGGGCGCAAGCCUGAUGCAGCCAUGCCGCGUGUGUGAAGAAGGCCUUCGGGUUGUAAAGCACUUUCAGUCGUGAGGAAGGUAGUGUAGUUAAUAGCUGCAUUAUUUGUACGUUAGCGACAGAAGAAGCACCGGCUAACUCCGUGCCAGCAGCCGCGGUAAUACGGAGGGUGCGAGCGUUAAUCGGAAUUACUGGGCGUAAAGCGCAUGCAGGUGGUUUGUUAAGUCAGAUGUGAAAGCCCGGGGCUCAACCUCGGAAUUGCAUUUGAAACUGGCAGACUGGAGUACUGUAGAGGGGGGUAGAAUUUCAGGUGUAGCGGUGAAAUGCGUAGAGAUCUGAAGGAAUACCGGUGGCGAAGGCGGCCCCUGGACAGAUACUGACACUCGGAUGCGAAAGCGUGGGAGCAAACAGGAUUAGAUACCCCGUGGUAGCGACUGA